UAGACAGCUCUCCAGACUCAGCUCAGCUUCCCCAGUCUCCAUUCAAUGCCUCACGGUUCUCUUGCAGGACAGGAAAUUGGCUCACGGGGUCUACACAGGUAAUCGUGGACCUGCUGAGGGAUCGGGAGGGGAAGAGGCGCCAAGCAGAAGCUCCUGCCUCCAGGUUCCUGCCUUGAGUUCCUGCUCCGACUUCCCUGGAUGAUGGACCACAAGCUGCAAGAUGAUGUAAAUUCUUCCUUCCCAGUUUGGCUUUGGUCAUGAUGGUGUUUUAUCACAGCAACAGAAGCCCUAAGACAAGCCUUCCAGGAGCACAAAAAGACCGAGGAGCGUGCUUCCUAGGAGGAAGGAGGCUGUGAGAGAGAGGAUGUCAGGCCUCUCCUCCACUGCACCAUACUCCCCUGCCUGCAUUCCGAUGUUGGAUCUCUUCCUGCUCCUGCUGCGGCUUGCCUGUAUCUAACUCCUUGGGCCACCUUCUUGACGGAAAGAUUUGUCCUUCUGGUUGAUUGGUGAAUACCCUGGGUGGCUCCAGACAGGAUGUAAACAGCUGGAUCCCUCCCUAGUGGGUGCUGUAUGCUUUUCCUAGGUGCCUUUGGCCUUCUCCAAGCUGGUUGCAUUUCCUGCCCGGUCCUCUCAGAGUCCCUUCCUCUGGUGCAAACCACAGGUCCCAAUCUAACAUCACACUGAUGAUAAUCAGUGUGCUGCUGAUGCCCUCUUCCAGAUCAUUAAUGAAGAUGUUGAAUGAAAGUGCAUCCCAUCCCGUGACACACCACUAGAGACCUCCCCACAGCUCCGCACUGCCCUUUGCUGUUUCAUUCCCCUUUGUUUACCUGGCCAG